UCAACCGCCAACGGGAGUGACGCUACGGUUAGCGCUAAAGAAUUCAGAAUUCUAAAGCAUAAAUACAAGAGGUCUGAGAAGGCUAAAGAGGAAAUAUACGCUGCUUACGAGGAGUUGAAGAGACAGGAAAGGAAAUUUAUGCUCUCUUCAAAGCAUUCGAAUGAGAAUUCCAAGAGAUUCAAAGCGCUUUAUGCAGAAAAUGAGCAGAUUGCGGAGCAACUGCAUUCGGCAAUUACUAACUUAGAU
rnacentral:ribozyme from 1 species